rnacentral:rRNA from 1 species
GAUGAACGCUGGCGGCGUGCCUAAUACAUGCAAGUCGAGCGAACGGACGAGAAGCUUGCUUCUCUGAUGUUAGCGGCGGACGGGUGAGUAACACGUGGAUAACCUACCUAUAAGACUGGGAUAACUUCGGGAAACCGGGGCUAAUACCGGAUAAUAUUUUGAACCGCAUGGUUCAAAAGUGAAAGACGGUCUUGCUGUCACUUAUAGAUGGAUCCGCGCUGCAUUAGCUAGUUGGUAAGGUAACGGCUUACCAAGGCAACGAUGCGUAGCCGACCUGAGAGGGUGAUCGGCCACACUGGAACUGAGACACGGUCCAGACUCCUACGGGAGGCAGCAGUAGGGAAUCUUCCGCAAUGGGCGAAAGCCUGACGGAGCAACGCCGCGUGAGUGAUGAAGGUCUUCGGAUCGUAAAACUCUGUUAUUAGGGAAGAACAUAUGUGUAAGUAACUGUGCACAUCUUGACGGUACCUAAUCAGAAAGCCACGGCUAACUACGUG